rnacentral:lncRNA from 1 species
AUGUCACUGUGUUGCACCUGCAAAUCCACUGGAGAACAACAAUUCUCUGCAAAUCAAGCUCAGCUGCUCUUCAGCAACUGGCUUCCAACUCAGAAAGCUGUGCUGUGUGUCCACUCACUAACAUUAAAUACACGUUUAAAUAAACUUCUACAUCCUAUGGACAUUUUUCCCAUGCCAUGGCUCCAUUGGAUAAAAGUGCUGAGCUCCUGGUACAUCUUGGCACUCAUCUCCCAUUUGUCCCCAUCUAUGUGUUUGGUAUUUUCCAGAAAAGAACCAACCUCCCCACUGUGUGGCAAACCCAGCUGUGCCCAGGUAUUUCCAGACAGCCCAGGCUAUUCCAUCAGGCACCACUUUUACACCAGCACAAGAUCCAUGAGGAAUAACAUGGGGAGACCAGAGCUGUGCAGAAAUACUUGCAAGCAGAAGAAUGCCACAAAGUGCAGCCACAGCUGGACCUCCCACCCCUGCCAGUGCAGGAAUCCUGGGCAGGCUGAGCUCAGUGGUGCUGCAGCCCAGAGCAGGGUGCAUGGAGCACAGCACUCAUGUCCAGGGAGCACUCAGACCAGGCCAGCACAGCGGGACAGAGCUGCCAUCCUUCCUGCUGUGUCCCAGAGAGCCACAGGUGGCCACUGCCUAAAGAACACUCCAGUCCUUCCUCGCUGCUUACAGGUACAGGGUGCAUGCCUAUGGCAUCCUGCAAUUAGCAGCCUUCCCCCUUCAGACCCCCAGCAGGACUGUGCUGAGCCUUAUCAUUUGCCACGUGGGGUGUCAGCCAAGGGGAAAUUGUGCCUCAUGAGGGCUGGUGCCCACGUGAGCCGUGUGUGUGGCAGCAGUGGGACAGCAAUAAAAAAAUUGUAUAAAAACUCCAGGGCCUUUCAAAGCAUUUCCAAAUGCUGCCCCAAUUUCCCUGCUGUGUGUCAGGUUCUAGCAAGCAGCCACCCACACAAAGCAACUGUGGAGCCACAUCUAAGACUGCCUCACCUGUGGUACGGAAAGAGCUGA